AUUGAACGCUGGCGGCAGGCCUAACACAUGCAAGUCGAGCGAGCGGCGGACGGGUGAGUAAUGUCUCGGAAACUGCCUGAUGGAGGGGGAUAACUACUGGAAACGGUAGCUAAUAUCGCAUACCAUCAGAUGUGCCCAGAUGGGAUUGGCUAGUAGGUGGGGUAAUGGCUCACCUGGGCGACGCUCCCUAGCUGGUCUGUGAGGAUGACCAGACAGACGGGAACUGAGACACGGUCCAGACUCAUAAGGGAGGCAGCAGUGGGGAAUAUUGCACAAUGGGCGCAAGCCUGAUGCAGCCAUGCCGCGUGUAUGAAGAAGGCCUUCGGGUUGUAAAGCACUUUCAGCGGGGAGGCGUUACCCGCAGAAGAAGCACCGGCUAACUCCGUGCCAGCAGCCGCGGUAAUAC
rnacentral:rRNA from 1 species